AAGUCGUAACAAGGUUUCCGUAGGUGAACCUGCGGAAGGAUCAUUUCCAAAAAACGUGAUAACUCACUAUACAAACUCAAAAGGAGAAGCAAGUUUUGUUUCUCCUGUGUGGAACUGUUUGGGGUCGUCUUUUUUUUACUCUCAAAGGGUAAUCUCUCUUGGUCUUUUUUUUUAAAAAAAAGAUUAGGGGGGUGUUAUCUGGAGAGAGAUUUGUGAUAAGCCCAUUUGAUACAUCAAAACCUUUAUUUCAUUCGAGAUAAAAACAAAAAAUUAAAACGACAACUUUUAACGGUGGAUCUCUUGGCUCGU
rnacentral:misc_RNA from 1 species